ACAAGCGGUGGAGCAUGUGGUUAAUUCGAUGCAACGCGAGAACCUUACCUGGGCUUGACAUCCCGGGAAUCCCUUGGAACAAGGAGUGCCUUCGGGGAACCUGGAGACAGGUGCUGCAUGGCUGUCGUCAGCUCGUGUCGUGAGAUGUAGGGUUAAGUCCCGCAACGGGCGCAACCCCUAUUGUUAGUUGCCAUCAUUCAGUUGGGCACUCUAGCGAGACUGCCGGUAAUAAACCGGAGGAAGGUGGGGAUGACGUCAAAUCAUCAUGCCCCUUAUGACCUGGGCUACACACGUGCUACAAUGGUUGGUACAACGAGUUGCGAGUCGGUGACGGCGAGCUAAUCUCUUAAAGCCAAUCUCAGUUCGGAUUGUAGGCUGCAACUCGCCUACAUGAAGUCGGAAUCGCUAGUAAUCGCGGAUCAGCACGCCGCGGUGAAUACGUUCCCGGGCCUU
rnacentral:rRNA from 1 species